UCCCUGGUGGACUAGUGGUUAGGCCACAGCACUCUCACUGCUGCGGCCCGGGUUUGAUUCCCGGCCAGGGAA
rnacentral:tRNA from 1 species